UACAGACAGUGCAAGCGUUAUUCGGAAUGGCUGGGCGUAAAGGGUGUGUAGGCUGUACUGAUUAACUAGGAUGGUAAAUGCUGUGGUAUAACCAUAGAGGGUCAGCCUGACGUUAACGUACUUGAGUUUGGAAGGGGUUGGAAGAAAUUCUGGUGUAAGGUUAAAAUUUGAAGAUAUUGGAAAGAAGUCCGAGGGCGGAAGCAUCCUUCUGGUCUAAACUGACGCUGAGGUACGAAGGCAUGGGGAGCAAACAGG
rnacentral:rRNA from 1 species